AUGCCCGGUAGAGAAAUCAGCGUCUCACCGGUUCCCAGGAGACUGAUAACACCUGUGUGUCUUUCGGGGUGGGGGCGGGGGGCAGUGUUGGAAGGCAAUACCCCUCGUAACUACCUGUUUUUUUCCUACCACGAUCGAGGGUACCUGUGGCCCAGCCCUGCAGAUAGACAGGCUGUCACACUGAGUGAGGACUUCACAAAUGCUCUCAAGAGGACCCGAGCUGCAGACCACCCGCCUAUCUCACGCAGGGUCCCGCUCCCGGAGGGAGGGAAACCUAAAAGAAAAAAAUCUGCCUUGAAUUUUGGAAUGAAAACCACUGCACAGAUUCCUUGUGAGACAGGGCUGCAUUCAACUCGUGUCUUCCACAGGAAUCAGAACUGUGUCUUUAAAGGAAGAAGGAGUUCUGGGGGACAGUGGAGCCAAGUUUCUGUCACGCUCUGUUACGCAGUGGGAAUGGGGACAGAGAAGAAAGGAGUGUGUCAGAGCACAGGGGCGACCCACCACGACCCUCUUCCUGUGGCCUAAUUAUAGCUGCUUUGUGGAGGGCCAGUCAUAUAACAGAUAAGUUGAGAGAUUCUUAAACUAGAAUGCUCUGCGUGGAGAACGAGGCCUGCAGCAAACAGGCAAUCCCACCCGGAGACUAGCUUCGCUCUGCUGCGGCGCCCGCAUCCCAAGAAGCCUAUUGUAUGAAGCAUUACAGUCUGGCAACGUUGUAAAGGAUGGUGGUUGUAUUGUCUAUUUUAGAAUCAUCUUCCCCUUUUUUGCCAUCACCAAGCAGCUGCCCCAGCGUUUGCAAAGCAGCUGUUUCAUGGCUAAAUGGACCCCAGCUCCAGCAGCCACCAGCUCACUAGUGAUUCACCCCGAACAUCUCCAUGAUAAGUGAUAAAGUCCUCAUGUUUAGGUAUGUUCUAACAUGAAUCACACCCAGAGAAUCUGGGGAAGAGAAAUGGGAAAAAGAAUACAAGUGUCCAAGCUUUUUGUUUGUUUGUCUCAAUGUCACAUGUAAGGUUACUGUCGGAAGGAAGGAAGGAGUUCUGGGCAAAAGCCUUCAUUCAAAAAUGUCAAUAUCAUUUAACAGCAAAAGCAGUAUAAUUACUCUAUUCAAUAAACAGCUAACAAUACACA
rnacentral:lncRNA from 1 species